GCGGACCUAGUCUUCUAGCGCAGGCGCGGACCUGGUCCUCCAGGCAUUCCCGACGGUUCUCCUGUUCGGACGGCGAGCACCAGAAUUUGGGAGCACCUGUCACUGGUAUGGCUGAGAGUGUAGAUGGGGAAGGGGACGCAGUGAUCUCUGCAUCAGACAAGGACACGGGCUGAGCGAUCAGGGUCUCAUAGAUUCUUGCACCAAGGAUCUCACCUCCACUCUCGGUACAUACCAUUCACUGAGGGUGCUGGACCUGGGGAAAAACUCCUUCACAGACCGAUCUGUUCCCGCUCUCUGCCACCUCGUACUGACCCUCCCAAAUCUAGAGCUGAUUACACUGUGGGAGAAUCAGUUCAGUUCAGGUGGAGAGAAUCAGCUGAAUUGACUGCGGAGAACCAGACCCGGACCGAGUGUGUCCCUGUGAACAUCUCGCUCUAGGAAAAUCACCCGCCUCUGGAUGGGAACACUUCUGGCCGACGUCCGCCCUCCGCUUUAAACGGCUGCACCCCGGAUUUAACACCAAGCGGCUGUAUCGGUUCCCAGCUCGAGCUGAGGGGGCUGUGGUAUCAGGGGCUGUCCUGCUGCCCCUUGACUCAGCGGCCCAUCCAUUUGGACCUGGGGAACUGCACCGACGGGAAGGGCCCAGGGUGGGGCUCAUUCUGGGACACCAGUGAUGGCAUUCAGUGUCUGGGGUGGGACUCCGCCUGGGACAACAGUCAUGGCAGACAUUGCCCGGGGUGGGGCUCAGUCUCGGACACCAGUGAUGACAUUCAGUGGCCUGGGGGUGGGAUUAUCUAGGGAGAGAGCUCUUUUGGCCAGGUUGCUGAGGAUGUUGCAGCUGGAAUUUUUCCUCCAGUCCCUGCUGCAGCCUGUUGGAAUCAUGGUAACUUGUCAAAUAUCUUAGUCGUUGUCCCUGGGUAUGCAGUGAUCUUGGAUGCUGCACUGAAGUGCGAUUGUAUAAUCAACGGUCAUCCGGAUGUUUCUCCCACGUUCCAAAGACACAGGUUCCGAAGUUAUGGGCAUGUUAUGCUGGAGCCGGAAGCGUGGCGACACUUGCGGGCCGCCCCCCAAAAUCACGACACAAAAGAUAUAUUUCAUUGUGUGUUUCAAUGUAUAUGUGACUAAUAAAGAUCUUAUUUUAUCUUAUCAUAAAUGGGACAGAUUAUUUAGCCUGCUAUUCAUCUUGUUCUAAUUGUCUGGUUGGAACUAAACUGUGAACUGUUUAUUUUGAUUUUGCUCACAAAUUAAAAAGUCCCUCUGUAUUUACGUUACAUUUCCGAUGGUGAAAUCAAUAAACGUUGUCAGUUCCGGA